CCUACGGGGGGCUGCAGUGGGGAAUAUUGCGCAAUGGGCGAAAGCCUGACGCAGCGACGCCGCGUGAGGGAUGAAGGUCUUCGGAUCGUUAACCUCUGUCAGCAGGGAAGAACGGUCACUGUGCUAAUCAGCAGUGAAUUGACGGUACCUGCAAAGGAAGCACCGGCUAACUCCGUGCCAGCAGCCGCGGUAAUACGGAGGGUGCGAGCGUUUAUCGGAAUUCCUGGGCGUAAAGCGCUCGUAGGCGGUAUGUCAAGUAAAGGGUGAAAUCCCCGGGCUCAACGUGGGAACUGCCUUUGAAACUGGCAAACUGGAGUGUGUGAGAGGAUAGUGGAAUUGCAGGUGUAGGAGUGAAAUCCGUAGAUAUCUGGAGGAACAUCAGUGGCGAAGGCGACUAUCUGGCACAUAACUGACGCUGAGGAGCGAAAGCGUGGGUAGCAAACAGGAUUAGAUACCCCUGUAGUC
rnacentral:rRNA from 1 species